rnacentral:rRNA from 1 species
ACGUAGGGGGCGAGCGUUAUUCGGAAUUACUGGGUGUAAAGGGUAUGUAGGCGGCCCUUCAAGUCGCGUGUCAAAGUCCAGUGCUCAACGCUGGGUGUGCGUUUGAUACUGAUGAUCUUGAGUGCUGGAGAGGAAAGCGGAAUUCCCGGUGUAGCGGUGAAAUGCGUAGAGAUCAGGAGGAACACCGGCGGCGAAGGCGGCUUUCUGGACAGUUUCUGACGCUGAGGUACGAAAGCGUGGGGAGCAAACAG